rnacentral:rRNA from 1 species
UACGGAGGAUCCAAGCGUUAUCCGGAUUUAUUGGGUUUAAAGGGUGCGUAGGCGGCCUAUUUAAGUCAGGGGUGAAAGACGGUAGCUUAACUAUCGCAGUGCCUUUGAUACUGAUGGGCUUGAAUACACUAGAGGUAGGCGGAAUGUGACAAGUAGCGGUGAAAUGCAUAGAUAUGUCACAGAACACCAAUUGCGAAGGCAGCUUACUAUGGUGUGAUUGACGCUGAGGCACGAAAGCGUGGGGAUCAAACAGG